rnacentral:lncRNA from 1 species
CUUGUGAUUCUGUGAUUUGUAACGCAAAAACCCUAAUUUUUCCAGGUCUUUUUAUAGUAUACAGAAGACGAUAGAUUCAUGGAACAUCAAGCAAUGCAGAGGUGCAGCUGGCCAUAUAUGACAAGGCAAUUGUGAAUGUACAGGAGAGGUAGCUCCAGAGGAGAUAAGGUUGCCUUCUCUUUCACUUUGGUUCAUCUACAAUGUACUACUGGUAAGAACCUUGCCUUCUGGCCAUAAACCCAUAAAAGGAAAAGAAGAAGGAAAAGACAGAUACAAACACAACUGGUAAAACCAACAGGUGUGUAUGCAGAUGGUCACCGCUUAGUAACUGCAGCCAGCUUCCCAUGACAUAACACGACUACUUGAAAUAUGCAAAGGAGCCUGCAAGUUUCAAACAAGACGGAGAUGAGGCUGAGUUUAUCGAGCAGACAUGGAGCCACAUUUUCAAAAGGGAGAAUCAUGCUUUACUGCUUUUCCUGAUACCAUCUGAUGAGCCCCACUGUUAAGUCUGUAGAGAUGCUUUCUGUUCAUUACUUCUCAGGACAAUGUGCAAAACAUGCAUUCUACAUGACUUAAAGACCAUCACCACCCCACCAAUUCCUUUUCCUCUCCCUGGCUGAUAUUUAUGACAACAAGCCUCAUGGAGAGAUGUGAAGAUCUCAAAAGUUUGCAUACAUAUUUGUGCUUUCACAUUGGCUUAUAAAGGCAU